GGGAGCUGGGAAAAGGCCCCAGGAGCUAGGGCAUCCUGAUUGUUCUUUCAAAGAAAUCCCUCUUGUUCUUAGUCAACAUGCUGGAUACCAGCUAAAAAAUGCAAAAUGAUCUUCAGGCAGGGAUGGCACAGGACCCUUGCUGAGCUGUGAAGCCUGGCUGUGAGGAUUCCUGCAUGGAAACAUCAACAUGUUGCCAGAUUGGUAUACGACUCAACACCACACUGUUUGAUUGGAGUUGAGCUGAUCUUGUCUGAACCUAGCUGGGCCUGGUCCGGGGCGGCAAAUUAGAUUCAGAUUCUCCGGAGAAAAAGGCUGGCUCGCAAGAGGAUGCCAGAAGAGUGACAUCUCCCUCAUCAGCGCUUUGCCUCUUAAGAGAUCCAGGGAGAAGUGAGAGCUUGUGUUGGUUCAGAGCCUCAGAAAUACGGCCAACAUUGCUCUGAGGAACUAGCUCCUAUCAGUCUGCAGCUCUGUCCUGGGCACAUCAGGAUUAGUCUCAUGCUUUGUCAUUGCACGCAUCACAGGUUGGCUGCGUCGGCUCCCAUCAUAUGCCAUCAACAAUGUCAACACUUGACAUGCUGCUCCCAAACAGUGCCUUUGAAUCAAGACCCAGUCAUCGUAUUCGAAGAAAAAGGAAAUAUCCCUGACCAUGUUGGGACUUAACACUGCUUCACAGAGCUACCCAAACCAAGGAGAAUACCAACGUGAAUUGUCUUUCCACCUGUUGUGUGGGGCCAGCAAUUAUUCUUUUAGCUUGACGCGUUAACCCACCUGCUCCCUGUGGCCCUGGGAUGCUCUGCCAUCCCCCGUGGCUGCCAGUUCACUUAGGGUAGACUUAUGGCAGAGGGAUGUCAAUUUUGCUUGAACUGCUCAAUCACUGCUGACAUUUCGUUAACCACCCUAUGAACUUCUCAAGCCUGAAGUAGCAGCAACUUGUGCCCUUGAAAACUGAACAGAAAACAACUGUAUUGAUUUUCUACUAUCAACAAGAAAAAGACAAUUUCUCUUUGCUGAGAAUGUUCAUAAUGCAUUUUACACCACUUAUUCUCGGCAGUCCACCUCUUCCUGAUAUAUUGUUGGGCCUCUUUAAACCCCUGCUGCUUUAGACUCUGCUAGAAUUAACCCUGAAAUGCCAGCACCAUCUCAAGCCCUUCCAGUUCCCGGAUAGAAAUGUUCAUCAGUGCUGAAUUGACAGCCUACUUAGGCAAGGGAGCUGUGAUCAUUUAGAAAUUACAAAGGAACUCAGGCCUGGGUGAAGGGUUUGGGGUUGGGACACUAGGAAUCUCUUUUAGUAAAAUUCUCUUUUAAAAGAACAUAUCUCUUUGGUUUGUUAAAAGCACUAAUGAUGUCUAUAUGAUAUUUUGGAGAUAUAUCAGCAUAUACACUGACCAAACUGAUUGAAUAGGAAGUAAUUUUCAGUAAUUUUUACCACUCAUGCAACCAUUCUUGCUAACUCAAGACCCAAGAUUUAACUUGUGUAUGAUUAUUCCAAAUUACCAGGCCUUUCUUUUCUUUUUCAACCUGCAUUAAAAAAAAAAAAAAAAAAAAAAAAAAACUAUCAGGCAUGCCCUAAUAGUUCCAUUUUUUUUGAAAUUUCCAACAUACCAAAAAGAGACUCCAAGGAACUGAAAGAGAUUCAAGAAGCUUGAAAAAGCAAGCCUGACCCUCUGGGACAACUGUAGUGUCAAAAGCAGUCAAUAUUUAUGCCUAGCAACCUUGACAAUAUCCUUUUAAUUAAAAUCAAUGGAGAAAUAAAACAUGCAUUAGAAUGCACGUGGGAUCACUCACCUCACGAGACAGAGAAGGAAGACUCUGAUAUUAUGCACGAUGUGAUUAUGACAAGACGCUGGAUCUUCUGUAUGAGACAUGGGUUCUGGUAUUUGCAAUUAGAUCUCUUCUUUUGA
rnacentral:lncRNA from 1 species